rnacentral:rRNA from 1 species
UGAUGACGAGACGCUAAGGCGUUGAAGCAGUGUAUGUCAGACUUCCAAGAUAAGCUCGCAAUGUCAUAAAUAAAAAGUGCCUGUACCAUAACCGACACAGGUGGGUAGGUAGAGUAUACUAAGGGGCGCGAGAUAACUCUCUCUAAGGAACUCGGCAAAAUGACUCCGUAACUUCGGGAGAAGGAGUGCCUUAUUUAUAAGGUUGCAAUAACAAGAUCCAAGCAACUGUUUAUCAAAAACACAGGUCUCCGCUAAGUCGUAAGACGAUGUAUGGGGGCUGACGCCUGCCCAGUGCCAGAAGGUUAAAGAAGUUGGUUAGUGUAUGCGAAGCUGAUGACUGAAGCCCUGGUGAACGGCGGCCGUAACAAUAACGGUCCUAAGGUAGCGAAAUUCCUUGUCGGGUAAGUUCCGACCCGCACGAAAGGCGUAAUGAUUUGGAUACUGUCUCGGAGAGGGGCUCGGUGAAAUAGACUUGUCUGUGAAGAUGCGGACUACCUGCACCAGGACAGAAAGACCCUAUGAAGCUUUACUGUAACUUGAAAUUGGAAUUGGACUUUGCUUGCGCAGUAUAGGUGGGAAGCGUUGAAGAUAUUCUUGCGGGAGUAUUGGAGCUAUCAGUGAGAUACCACUCUUGUAAUGUUAGAUUUCUAACUUUGAACCAUAAUCUGGUCAAAGAACAGUUUCAGGUGGGCAGUUUGACUGGGGCGGUCGCCUCCCAAAUGGUAACGGAGGCGUACAAAGGUUUCCUCUGAACGGAUAGAAAUCGUAUCUAGAGUGUAAAGGCAUAAGGAAGCUUGACUGUGAGACCUACAAGUCGAGCAGGGACGAAAGUCGGUCUUAGUGAUCUGACGGUACUGAGUGGAAAGGCCGUCACUCAACGGAUAAAAGUUACUCUAAGGAUAACAGGCUGAUCUCCCCCAAGAGUUCACAUCGACGGGGAGGUUUGGCACCUCGAUGUCGGCUCAUCGCAUCCUGGGGCGGUAGUACGUCCCAAGGGUUGGGCUGUUCGCCCAUGAAAGCGGUACGCGAGCUGGGUUCAGAACGUCGUGAGACAGUUCGGUCCAUAUCCGGUGUAGGCGCUAGAAUAUUGAGAGGAGCCUUCUUUAGUACGAGAGGACCGAGAAGGACACACCGCUGGUGUACCAGUUAUCGUGCCAACGGUAAACGCUGGGUAGCUAUGUGUGGAGUGGAUAACCGCUGAAAGCAUCUAAGUGGGAAGCCCACCUCAAGAUGAGUAUUCUCAC